CUGCGCAGGAGGCCACGCCUGGGGGUCCACACUCGGAGCUCAGGCUCUUGGAGCCGCGGGGCUGAGACAGGACCAGCCUCCGGAGGUCGGCCGGUGGCUGUGAACUCGGGUGCCACGUCUUCAUGCCUGUUACAUGGGGGCUCCACUUCUGCCAGCUUGGACUGGCAUCCUCUGAGGCACAGGAGCCGGAAAUGUCUGCAGAGACGACAGGAGCGGCGGGCCCGGGCCCCUCCGCAGACCCGCUGAGGCUCCGGGCUGAGCC